UACGAAGGGGGCGAGCGUUGUUCGGAUUUACUGGGCGUAAAGGGCGCGUAGGCGGCGGCCCAAGUCGAGUGUGAAAGCCCCGGGCUCAACCUGGGAGGUGCGCUCGAGACUGGUUUGCUGGAGUUCGGGAGAGGAGCGUGGAAUUCCCAGUGUAGAGGUGAAAUUCGUAGAUAUUGGGAAGAACACCGGUGGCGAAGGCGGCGCUCUGGACCGAGACUGACGCUGAGGCGCGAAAGCGUGGGUAGCAAACGGG
rnacentral:rRNA from 1 species